AUAGAGUUGGGAAUUUUUAGAGCUUUAAUAUGCUGGAUGAAAGAAAACAAGUGACAUGAUGACUGGAACCGCCACCACUGAAUUUUCUAAACUUUAAGAAAAGGCAAGAAAAUUGCUUUUAGGAGAAGAGAAGUUGAGAAUAUGCCCCAGUGAAUCCUCCCCACCUGCAAUUAUGCUUUGGUAGGCAGCCUGAAAUUGCUCAUCAAGGAAAAAGACCAGACUCGGAUUUUAAAUGGCUUCUUCUGAAUGAAGCAAUUAAUGCUAAAAGGAACAUGUUGUCUUCUCAGCAUUUAUAAGGAUUAUUAAUGAGGAUGGCCUGUGCAAAAAGACACCCAGAGAUUUCAUGCUGUUGAUUCACAGAAAGCCUGUUACUGUUCACUCCGUAGAGUCCUCAGAGUCUGGAUCAUCCCUUACAGAAGAUCCUUGAUAAUAUUUCUGAUACACCUCCAAGGUCCCAAGAGGUGGGCUCAUACUUUAGUCUACCAGGACCAUCUUAUAGGUUGUUGCUGAUUUUGAUCUUUCCUCACAGCUUAAAAAAUCUGCA
rnacentral:lncRNA from 1 species